rnacentral:rRNA from 1 species
GAUGAACGCUGGCGGCGUGCUUAACACAUGCAAGUCGAACGAGAAAUGGAGACGGACACCUUCGGGCGGAAGGCUUCAUUUCGAGUGGCGGACGGGUGAGUAACGCGUGGGUAACCUGCCUCAUACAGGGGGAUAACAGUUGGAAACGACUGUUAAUACCGCAUAAGACCACAGCACCGCAUGGUGCGGGGGUAAAAACUCCGGUGGUAUGAGAUGGACCCGCGUUCGAUUAGCCGGUUGGCGGGGUAACGGCCCACCAAAGCGACGAUCGAUAGCCGAUCUGAGAGGAUGACCGGCCACAUUGGGACUGAGACACGGCCCAAACUCCUACGGGAGGCAGCAGUGGGGAAUAUUGCACAAUGGGGGAAACCCUGAUGCAGCGACGCCGCGUGAGUGAAGAAGUACGGCGGUAUGUAAAGCUCUAUCAGCAGGGAAGAAAAUGACGGUACCUGAGUAAGAAGCCCCGGCUAACUACGUG